AAGGUAUAAUAGCUGCCCCCCCAUGGGGGCUUCACAGCGAUCCUUGCACGUGAACCGUUGGAUCUUCCUUGCAACGAAUCUCAGCCGUUGAUUCCUGACUCAGAAUCUACUAGCUAACCCCAUGCAACGGCCAACUGUUACCCGCCUCCGGCUGCAAGUGAGCCCCACCUUUGCCGGCCCCGCACGUCAGCCACCGCGAGUAGAAUCUCCGUCGGUGCACAUUGUCAUCGGGUAGUGGAUCUCCACCCCGCAGGGGUAUUUUCGGUAUUUCACCGCGGCCUCGUAUAAAAGCGAGCCCCAGGGCGAAAAAAACCCUAGCCGCCGCCCACGCCCCUACCCGCGCCUCGCGCCCCCGCUCGGACCUGCCCCGCUCCGCCUCGCGCCCCCGCCCCUGCCACCGUCCCUGCCCCGUUCUCGUCGCCGGCCGCCGCCUCGCGCCACCUCCGGCCCUGCUCCCUCGCAGCCUCGACCCGCCGCCAAGCAGGAGCGGCUGCUGGAGCUCCGCCUUGAUGGUGAUGGCGGGCUCGAGCUCGCGCCGGCGACAUCCACAGGAGCAGCGCGGGCGACCUCCACAUCGGCAGCGCGGGCGACCUCCACAUCGGCAGCGCGGGCGAUCUCCCUCGCCGCGUUUCUGGAGGCAGAGGACGGCGCAGCUCCACCACCUCGCCCGCGGGCUGCUCGGGCGCGACAUAAGAAGAUGCCAGCCCAAGGCUGAUCGUGCCUCUUCCGUCCAAAUCAGGGAGGAAGCCAAAUCAGGGAGGAAGAGGACUCGCAUAUGGAGAUGGAUUUGGGGAAGAAGAAGAGGGGGACGCCAACCAUCUGGUGCGGAUCUCUUCCAGUGUACAGCCAUCCUCUGCCUCUACUUUUCAGGUUUCACACAUGGAAAUCAACUUGCUGGAGGAUAAUGAAUUUGAACCCCACCGUCUCAAAUUAUGGCAAGGCGGAACUACAAGUUUUUAUUAUCAUGGCAUGAUUUAGUUCAGUUUUUGUGGUUUGCAAAGAUUAAAUUGGAUGUUCAUGUAUUUCUCGGCAAUUGGCUGCAGGUGUCAUAUGCACCUCAGUUUGAGAGAUUUUUGGAUACCAAGGAGAAAUCGGAGGUCAGGAGAAAUGAAGUCCACGGUCAAAUAAGAUCAAAUAAGAUAAUGGAUUUGAGUUAUGAGAACAAGGCAGAGCCAGCUCAACUGGAGAAAACGCAAGAGUUGCUGGACAAGCACAUAGUACGCAUCUGGCAAUGCCCCAAUUCAGCUUUAGCAUAUUUUCCCCUCACGUGACGAAUUCAUAAAAGAACAAUAUUUUGGUUGUCUAUGUAAUCCAACAAUUGAAUGCAGUAUUUUGCUCAUCCAUGAGAAUAAACCAAAGAUCAUACAUGUAGGUCCUCUCUCUCCCACUCUCUCCCCCUCUCUCUGCUUCUCUCUCUGAUCCCUGUACAAAUAUUUCAAGGUGUAUAGUUGCUAAUAUUUUUGUGAGCAUCUUUUAAGGUGUGUGUGCAAAUAGUAAGGUCAUGAGAAAUCUGCCAUCCGCUAUUUUGCCCUCUGCGUGUUGCCUCACUUGAUUUUAGUGUUGUUUAUUCCUUUCGCUGAGGGUGCACUUUGUUUAUGGAAUAAAGCACACAAUGAUUCUGGCAAAUUGCUUGAGGCCUUGAGGGUCUGGAGGAAGUAGAAGAAAUAAUUAACCACUGGCUAAAUUAUCUCCCCUACCUCCAGACUUUUAUAGGUUCCUAAGGAGCAUAUACAUCAUGUGUUAUGAAAGUUAUUAGGCGUAUGUGCCACACCAUAUAGGAAAUGGUAGAUAUUUUCCUGUAUUCUCCUUAAAUUUGUAUGGGUGGCGUCAAGCAUUAUUUUAGUUUUAUCUUUGGUUGUGUAUAUGCUAACAUAUGAGAUAUACAUGGAGUUUUAGCUAAAUUGAGAUUUUUUUAUAAUUACUUUGCAAGUUCUGCACUUUAGUCAUUAGUAUACUUCCCUCAUUAGUUCGGAUAUAAUGUGGAGGGUAUUUUUUGCUAUGCACUUUUGGUGCUCUUAUAUCUACAGAUUCUGGUUACAAUGAUAACCCUCAUUAGUUCAGAUAUAAUGUGGAGGGUAUUUUUAUUUGCUAUGCACUUGUGGUGCUCUGAUAUCUACAGAUUCAGCUUACAAUGACAAGUUGGUCGACCAUGACAGCAAGGUCAAAGCAACAAGUUUAAGGAGACAUUGUGAGCCCGUGAAGGAAGAUGAAGUGGUGGCCACUGGUCAACAACGUCUGCUGCAAGGGUUGUGACCUCUAUAUAAAUUUUAUGUGUUUAUUAUGACUUGCUAGCCUACAUGUAAAUGCACCUUUACAUGACCAAUGGUUAUGUCAUAUAGAGCUGCAUGUAAACACAUCUUCACAAGGUUAGUUGGUCACUUUUGCUAAUAUACAUGUGUUUCAAUUGUAUCUAUCUAAAAUACAAAAACUCAAGUGAAUCACGGGGUUGGCUUGGGGUCGCUGGUUUUGUCUCACACCCAACCGCCGCAGCCAAUCGUUAGGUGACACGUGGCCCAACCGGUGAGAGAUGGAGCGGAGCGAGCGUACAAUCCAUCAGCGCGAUGUGCUUAUCGUGGAUAGCCUCUAGGCCCCCCAUGGGAUUCAGGGAUGAUGUUCCUGGGAUCUUCUUUUUCUUUGGCCAGGUAGUACAAGGAUCCCUUAUUCGGUAGCAUCAUGUGUAUUUUCCUGGUGCAUAUCAGUCUCACCUAUGUCCCAUUGCCAAUGAAUAUUUUUAUCUUAUUCAUUUGUACUAACAUUGUUCCCUUUUUGGUAGAUGUUGGCAUGGUACUAAUUUUGUUAUCAUUUUUAUAUUUGGUUUCCCAGAUCAUUGGUGAUAUUUCCCGUGGAUACACAUGCAAGUAUCAAGAAAAGAUUUUGGAUACUACAAAUGUAGGUGGGGUUCCUCACAGAAUAUUACUCUACCUUAUGCUACAAAAGCUUGGUGUUUCAAAGGCUGAAUACCAUCUUAAACUAUGCGAAGAUAGCAAAGUUCGUGUGACCUUUUGAUACCUCUACCUUACCACUCGAAGGUACCACUAUGCACAUGAGGGUGUGUGUGGAAUCCAAUCUGCAGUUUAUGAAAUAGCAGAAGAUUUUCGGUAUCAGAGAUUUCAACUACAUUCGGCUCACAAGACUGGAAGAACAGAAUAAAUCCCUACUAGGUCGGCUUAUACAAUCAAAUGAAUUCAAGAAACAACUUGUGAGAGGCUGGUUAUUUCUCAGAAAAUGAUGGUUGUGUAUCUUAACCACUCGAAAUAAGAUAGCCAUAUAGACAAGGUUCGGAACACUCUCCUGGUCAACUUUCAGGAUUUAGACUUAAACAUGCAGGCAGAGUUUUGUAGAGACCUCUAGCCUCUCCAGUCUGGCCAUUUUGUACUUUUUAAGUACUGCAUGUCAUCAACCCUGUUGUUUGGUUUAUUAGACUAUGCAACUUCAGUAAUUGUAGCCACAAAUUAUCACAGAUUAUUAUAAAGUAUUUUCCCUAUA